rnacentral:rRNA from 1 species
CCUACGGGUGGCAGCAGUGGGGAAUAUUGGACAAUGGACCAAAAGUCUGAUCCAGCAAUUCUGUGUGCACGAUGAAGUUUUUCGGAAUGUAAAGUGCUUUCAGUUGGGAAGAAGAAAGUGACGGUACCAACAGAAGAAGUGACGGCUAAAUACGUGCCAGCAGCCGCGGUAAUACGUAUGUCACAAGCGUUAUCCGGAUUUAUUGGGCGUAAAGCGCGUCUAGGCGGUUAAUUAAGUCUGAUGUGAAAAUGCGGAGCUCAACUCCGUAUUGCGUUGGAAACUGGUUAACUAGAGUACUGGAGAGGUAAGCGGAACUACAAGUGUAGAGGUGAAAUUCGUAGAUAUUUGUAGGAAUGCCGAUGGGGAAGCCAGCUUACUGGACAGAUACUGACGCUAAAGCGCGAAAGCGUGGGUAGCAAACAGGAUUAGAUACCCUGGUAGUC